AAUAAACCCAAUUGUCCCAGAGCAUCAACACGGUACUGCGCAGUUUGGAAGCAGAAAAACUGUUCGGAAAAUCCAACAAAAGGAAAACGAGGCGUGAUCCCCAAAAGUACCGUCGGGAUUCAUUAGGCGGCACCAACGAUACGCCCACGUGCAAAUCCAACACGGAGAGCAAGGGUAGAGGCACGUCCAAGCCGAUCAGCACAUCAAACGGACCACGGACGGAAUCAUUGACUCCGAGCACGCAGUUCGGUCCUCGAGCUGUUUGGACGGUCUGAGCCAGCUUAACUGCAACUAGCACUUACAGAGGAAUACCAGUACGGAAGGCUCGCCGACGACGGCACUAGACAGUAUCAUCUCCAAUUGCGCGGUGACUCACGACCACCGAAUAUUGCGGUAAUCAGCUUCAUCCAUCCUUCUCAUUAGAAGCUAGACCGACCAUCGGCCAUCUGCGAGAGUUGUGCAGGACAGAAAAGCCUUCCACUGGAAGGCUUUUCUUUUCAUUAUUACAGUUUCGAAGCUUUCGGAGUGCAGUCAGAUCGGACGUCUGUGUGCAGUCGGACGCAGGGAGCGGAUCACCCCGUCACGGUAGCGAACCGUUGAUGCGAAAGGGUAAGGGGCGCUCAGGAAUCUCCAGACCACUCACCAUCAGUAGGCGCCAAUCUCGCUUCUGUGGCCGAACACAGGGAGCGAAGCGUACAGUUGAAGCGAGGCGCAGACUUCAGUUCGCUGGUGACAGGCACUGCGGCAUACCCGGACAGUUGCGGUGACGAGUCGGUGUGAGGCAAGAGGUACAGGAUGCAGAGAUUCGGUAGGAAACAAGGGUGCACCCAAGAAGAGUUUCGUGAGUACCACUAGUAUAAGAAAAUGAAUGGAAUGAAGAAGAAAGCAAGUCAGAGUUAGGGAAUAGAAGGCAGAUAAGGGUGAUGAUGACCAGUAUGCUAAAUAAAAUAAUUGCAAAAUGAUUUAAGCUAUUUGUGGCGUUUUUAUGUUGCUAGCCGGUCCGACCGAUGCAUU